AUUCCAGCUACAACUAGGAAGAGGAUGGAUUUUCGGAUCCACUCCACUCCCGGUCCUUAAAAAUAACAAGCUGGAACUGUCUGGGGUUGGGGAAUCCCCGGACAGUUCGUCGCCUAAAGGAGAUGAAGAAAGAGUUCUCUCCUGGCAUCAUCUUUCUUAUGGAAACCAAAAAUCCCGAUGAGUUUGUUAUCAAGAAGACGGAGCAAUUGCAGUAUGAGAAUAAAUUCUUAGUUUCACCAGUUGGCCAUGGAGCAGGAGGGUUAAUCCUUCUUUGGAAACAAGAAAUAAAUCUUCAAAUCCUAAAUGCUUCUACAAAUUGUAUUGAUACCUGCAUCAUUUAUGAAGGAAAAAAGUUUUAUGCCUCUUUUGUGUACGGAAAUACGGAUAAAACAGAAAGAAAGAAGCUUUGGGAGCACUUAAUCUCUGUCAAUGACUCCCGUGAAUCUCCUUGGUUCUUAACCGGAGAUUUCAACGAUUUGCUCAACAACACGGAGAAGUCAGGUGGCCCGGAACGCACAUAAGGGUCUUUCACAGACUUUAGAACCUUCUUUUCAGAAGGAGACUUAUAUGACCUGCCUUACACUGGAGAUUUCCUAUCAUGGCGCGGAAAGAGAGAAGAUUAACUCGUGAGAUGUAGAUUGGACAGGGCAAUGGCCAACAGUGAGUGGGCGGAACUGUUUCCAACUUCAUGCUCCCAAUACUUAUCAUAUGAGGGUUCCGAUCAUCGCCCGGUGUUCUCUGUGUUUGAACCUAACAUGAAGAAGAGACGCGGCCUAUUCCGCUACGAUAGACGACUGAAAGACAGUCCUGAGGCAAAAGAAGUUGUCAAGCAAGCGUGGAAGAAUGCCACCGAUAAAACGAUACAUGGGAAGAUUGCUAUUGUUAGAUCAGCCUUGAUCGAAUGGAGUAAACAAUGCUUCCUCAAUAGCAGAAAACGUAUUGAGGAAAAGAAGACAGAGCUCGAAGUGGCGCUUACAGACCCGGUAAAUGACACAUAACUGAUUUCUAAAGUGUCGAAUGAACUCAAUGCAACAUAUGCUUCCGAAGAAGAGUAUUGGAGACAAAGAAGCCGAGUUCUAUGGCUAAGCCUAGGAGAUAGGAAUUCUGGAUAUUUCCAUGCAGUAUCCAAGAACCGAAAGCGAAGAAACGCCAUCUCAGUCAUUGAAGACCCGGAAGGAACACCAAUGUACCAAGAAGAACUGAUCGGAAAGGUCAUAGUGAACUACUUCCAAAACCUUUUCUCUUCGAUGGAGGGUGAUAGAGAAGAAACAGUCAACUAUGCAUUAUCACCGAUGAUAUCUGCAGACACAAACGAGCAGCUGACACUCAUCCCCACUUCCAUCGAAGUCAAAGAAGCGUUGUUCUCUAUCCAUGCGGAUAAAGCCCCAGACCUGAUGGCUUCUCAGCUGGUUUCUACCACACAAACUGGGAAAACAUAGGCGGGGACAUUGUAAAAGAGAUCCAAGAUUUCUUUAUCUCGGACAUAUUGCCCGACCGGAUAAACGAAACACAUGUCUGCCUUAUUCCCAAGGUUACUAGCCCAAAGAUGGUUGCUGACUACCGGCCCAUAGCGUUGUGUAAUGUUUAUUAUAAUAUCAUCUCGAAGAUCUUGACGAAAAGACUGCAACCUCUCUUGUCGGACAUAAUCUCAGAAACGCAAUUUGCGUUCGUUCCGGGGCGAGCAAUAUCGGAUAAUGUUCUUAUCACCCAGGAGGUUCUUCAUUACCUCAAAACAUCUGACGCACAGAAAAGAUGCUCUAUGGCGGUGAAAACCGAUAUGAGCAAAGCCUAUGACAGAUUGGAGUGGGAUUUCAUCCAACUAGUGCUGCGACGGCUGGGUUUUCACCAAAAGGUGAUCAACUGGAUUAUGCAGUGUGUCUCCACCGUUACAUACUCCUUCCUCAUUAACGGCUCGCCUAGAGGAAGAGUCACACCGAGUAGAGGUAUCCGUCAAGGAGAUCCCCUCUCACCAUACAUAUUUAUAUUGUGUAGUGAGGUUCUCUCGGAUCUUUGUAACAAAGCACAAGAAGAAGGAUCUUUUAAAGGGGUCCGGGUAGCUCGGGGGUGUCCUCGACUAAACCACCUUCUCUUCGCGGAUGACACAAUGUUCUUCCUUAGAGCAAGUAAGGACAAUAGUGAAACUCUCAGCCGAAUCCUUAAGCGCUAUGAAUCAGCAUCUGGUCAGUCCAUUAAUGUCUCAAAAUCAUGCAUAACCUUCUCUCGCAGAACUCCGACGACCCUAAAGAUUGCUGCAAAGACGAUUCUCAUGAUUGAAAAUGAAGGAGGAGUUGGCAAAUAUCUUGGACUCCCGGAAUUGUUUGGUAGAAAGAAGCGAGACCUCUUCUCAUCUAUAGUGGAUAGGAUCACUCAAAAAGCAAAAGGAUGGUCAAAUCGCUUCCUAUCCACAGCCGGGAAAAUGACUAUGCUAAAAAGUGUACUCUUCCCGAUCCCAUCCCACACGAUGUCAUGCUUCAUGCUUCCGGUAUCUCUAUGCCAAAGAAUUCAAACAGCCUUGACGCGUUUCUGGUGGGACAAUGACAGCGGCAGUAAGAAGAUGGCUUGGAUAGCCUGGUCAACGCUUACACGCCCAAAAGAUCAAGGAGGACUCGAGUUUAGAGACAUUCAAAGCUUCAAUGAAGCCUAUCUAGCUAAGCUCAGCUGGCGGAUCAUCAACAACCCGGACAGCCUACUAGGAAGAACCCUCAUUGGCAAAUACUGCCUAACCGAAGACUUUCUUACUGUCUCCGCAAAAAGUGCCAUCUCCCACGUCUGGAGAGGAAUAUUGGUAGGGCGAGACAUCAUUCUCAACAACUCCGGCUGGGAAGUGGGUAAUGGAUUAAGCAUAAACAUUUGGGAGAAGGCGUGGCUUGACUGUACCGAGCAGGUCAGACCUAUGGGACCUGCACCGGAAGAACUCCUCAGCACAACGGUAUCAGACCUAUUCCUACCAAAUGGGUAUGACUGGGACCUGGAAAAGAUUAGACAGAUACUACCGUUUGAGGAGGACAGGAUCCUAGCAAUAAAACCAAGCAUAACCGGAGCCCUAGACAAGCUAAUAUGGCUGAACACAUAAUCCGGAGACUUCACUACAAAGUCAGGGUAUGCUGCUGCUCUGUACAAGCGUGCGGCUGAAGUCGGCCAACCACAGACCGAACAAAGAUUUGACUGGAAAAAGAAUGUCUGGAAACUCCAAACGCUGCCGAAGAUUAAACUUUUUGUCUGGAAGACGUUUCAUGAAGCUAUCCCAGUGGGAGAAGCUCUGCUGUCAAGACAUAUUCAAGUAGAUGGAUUGUGUAAAAGAUGCAAUUUACCUGAAUCUAUAGAUCAUCUGUUCCUUCACUGUGGGUUUGCAACAGGUAUGGAACUCUGUUCCUGUGCUGUUCCUGUGCUCCCUGCAAUUGACAUCAGUAGAUCUCUAGAUUUAGAGCUAAAAAUCAUUUGGAGUGAUCUAUGCUCGAGAAAAGCCUUACCUCCUACUGGAAUAGCAUUAGACUCCUUAGCUCCUUGGAUUCUAUGGCAUUUGUGGACAGCGAGGAACAACCUAAUCUUCAACAACAGACACCUCACGUCGGCGGAAGUAGUCUCUAAAGCAAUAGCUUCAGCUCGGGAAUGGGUCACUAGCCAAGGAGUAGCCAGUCGCAAUCUAACACCGCCGAUACGCCCUCCUCCUAUCGCUAUUCAGGGAGUGUGCCUGAUAAGAACUGAUGCUGCGUGGAAUGAGACCACAAAAAUUGCAGGGUUAGGAUGGACAAUUGAAGAAUCCCGGGAAGUAGCUUCAUACUCUAGGGCUUCCCGGCAUGUUUCGUCACCCUUAGCGGCAGAAGGCCUUGCCCUGCGUGAAGCCAUACUGAAGUGUAGGGACCGUGGUAUUUCGAAGAUCAGAUGCGAAUCGGACUCAGCGAUACUGGUGAAAGCAAUCAACAAUGGAAAAUCUCUUGCUGGUCUUUAUGGCAUUCUCUCUGAUAUUAGUUCUCUUGCUUUUUCUUUUGAUUCUAUCACUUUCAACUGGAUCUCCCGUGAGAGAAAUACCGCUGCUUAGCAAAACAGGUUCUGGAUGUUGAACUCGCCAUUAUGACCUCACCUAACUUCAGUUAAGGUUUUUUUUAAUAUUUUUGGAGAUCCAGAAGCUGCAGAUAUUGUCUUCACAUGUGGGGCUGAUAUAAUUGCUGUGGGGAUCAACGUAACUCAUCAAGUUGUUAUGACAGCUGAUGACAGGGACAAACUGGCAUCAUCAAACGGGAAACUAGGUCAAUACCUCUGUAAAAUCCUUGACUUGUACUAUUCUUAUCAUCUUGACGCUUAUGAGAUCAAAGGU